UGGGGAAUAUUGGGGCAAUGGGGGGAAACCCUGACCCAGCAACGCCGCGUGAAGGAAGAAGGCCCUCGGGUUGUAAACUUCUUUUACCAGGGAAGAGAAGAAGACGGUACCUGAGGAGGAAGCCCCGGCUAACUACGUGCCAGCAGCCGCGGUAAUACGUAGGGGGCAAGCGUUGUCCGGAAUGAUUGGGCGUAAAGGGCGCGUAGGCGGCCCGGUAAGUCUGGAGUGAAAGUCCUGCCUUCAAGGUGGGAAUUGCUUUGGAUACUGUCGGGCUUGAGUGCAGGAGAGGUAAGUGGAAUUCCCAGUGUAGCGGUGAAAUGCGUAGAGAUUGGGAGGAACACCAGUGGCGAAGGCGACUUACUGGACUGUAACUGACGCUGAGGCGCGAAAGUGUGGGGAGCAAACAGGAUUAGAUACCCUGGUAGU
rnacentral:rRNA from 1 species